GGAAUCUUGCACAAUGCGCGAAAGCGUGAUGCAGCAACGCCGCGUGCGGGAAGAAGGCCUUAGGGUUGUAAACCGCUUUCAGUUGGGACGAAGCUUCAGUCGUUAAUAGCGGUUUGGAGUGACGGUACCUUCAGAAGAAGCGCCGGCUAACUACGUGCCAGCAGCCGCGGUAAUACGUAGGGCGCGAGCGUUGUCCGGAAUCAUUGGGCGUAAAGCGCGUGUAGGCGGCUGAGUAAGUCUGCUGUGAAAGUCCAGGGCUCAACCCUGGAAUGUCGGCGGAUACUGCUCAGCUGGAGUACGGGAGGGGCGAGUGGAAUUCCUGGUGUAGCGGUGGAAUGCGCAGAUAUCAGGAGGAACACCUAUGGCGAAGGCAGCUCGCUGGAACGUUACUGACGCUGAGACGCGAAAGCGUGGGGAGCAAACAGGAUUAGAUACCCGAG
rnacentral:rRNA from 1 species